UUGAAGGAAAAUAUAGUGUCUUAUCUUUAUUCGAUAAAGCUAAAAAAGCAUAGAGAAAUUAAUAAUGGAGAAGAAGAGAAUGAUGAGAGUGGCAGCUAUGGCUAUGGUGUUCAUCGUCCUUAUAUCGGCUAACAUGGACACCGUUGGCGUCGCUGCUCAGGGUGUCAAUUGCUGGGACAAUUGCAAUACUGCCUGUGUUGGUCUCCCACCGAGAUUGUACGAUCGUUGUGAUGGGAAGUGCAUCAUUAGGUGCGGACCAGAUGGCAAAAUUGAUGGAACCCUGGGUUAAAAGUGCUAAAAAAAAGUACUUGCAAGCUACCAAGGGCUAUUAUUGUCUAUUUUGAUAAUAAAUCUUCGUAGUUUGGGAAAUAAACUUUAUAGUUAAGUGUAGGUGUAAUGUAUUUCAUUAAUUGUCAUAAUUAAUAGAUGCAUUGUACAUCAUGAUGGUGAAAACUACAUAUUGAAAUUAUAAUAGCCAGUUGAAUUUAUCAUA